rnacentral:misc_RNA from 1 species
AAUGGAAGCAUCAAUUCUACAGCUACUUCUUCUACUAUCACUUACAUCCUGCACAAUUGUCUUUUACAAAAUCAGAGGCCGAUGGCGUCGUCGGCCUCCGUCUCCACCAUCUCUCCCUAUAAUCGGUCACCUCCAUCUCCUCAACCAAAUGCCUCAUCACACCUUCUUCAAUCUAUCUCAAAAACUCGGAAAAAUUAUCUAUCUUCAACUCGGCCAAAUUCCGACUCUAAUCAUCUCAUCUCCUCGUCUAGCUGAACUCAUCCUCAAAACGAACGAUCAUAUCUUCUGUAGCCGUCCACAAAUCAUUGCAGCUCAGUACCUCUCCUUCGGUUGCUCCGAUAUCACUUUUUCACCGUACGGUCCUUACUGGCGUCAAGCUAGAAAAAUCUGCGUAACGGAAUUACUCAGUUCCAAACGAGUUCACUCGUUUGAAUUCAUACG